AAAAGUAGAGUAAGUUAUUUCAACUACUGUGCCAUGCAAGUUGAAUCAAGGAACAAAACUGCAACUCUCCCAAAUACACGUGGAUAAAAUUUGAAAACCUGACUCCAGUUAUAGAAGAGCAUAAUAAACAGCUAUUUUGUAAGAAUUAUUAAACACUGAUUACAAAGGCAAAAUUUAAUGAUGGUAGAGACUACAGAAAUAUCACCAGCUUACAUUUCCGCAUGUUUCUGUAGUGGUAUCUUGGUUUUGACGAUUUUACACAGCAGGAAAAGCCUGCAUCAUAGAACCACAAAAAGGAAACCCCAUCACUGGAGGUUUUCAAGCUGCAAUUGCAGAGGAUACUAGAUAAUCUCAUUUGGGCUCCCUUUUCCCAUGAAAUGUUGGGCCUGAUGAUCUUUUGAGAUCCCUUCCAACCCGGGCUGUUCCAUGAAAUGUAAGGAUUCUUGCAUAACUAUUUCCAAAAGCACAUCAACUUUUCCUGACAUAGCAACCACAAAAUUAAUGCCAAUGAGAAAAGUCUUGUUCCCUGGUGUAUGUAGGGGAUGGAGGUAAGGCCUUCUCCAUGCAGUACCUCAACAGCAUCCUCUUUGCCUAUCAUGUGGCAAACUUGGAUGUUCCCCAUGUUCAUCAAAAACAGCUAUACCACCUUAUUCCAUUACUAUGUUUGUUUAGUACAUGACUUCGAGUACUAAAAUGGGAGGUGAAAGACAGAUCCCUGAGCACCCCACACCUGCACUACAGCCCAGGCUCCCACUCCUCUCAGCACCACCAUGGCCAAACCACCCCACGCUACCCCAUGCCACACACAGACCCCAAAGCACGCUCACAAGAAAUACAAAACAAACGUGUUUUUAUUUUCCACACAGCCGGUUUGCAGCACUCCGAGGCCAGUGGCGCCCACCCGCGCCUCGCCUCAGCGGGAAAUGGCCGCAGUCUUGAGGCUCCCCGGGCCCCCUCACACGAUGGGGGAAGGAGCACAAGCCCCCUCAGCUCCCCUCACGGGCAGCCCCACCUCACGGCCCCGCCCUUCGCCGCGGUGCGACGCCAGCGCGGGAGCGCGCAGCCCCCAGGCGUCUCCUCACGGCCGAAGGGAAAGAAAGGGGAAAGCAGCCGCUGUCCUCCCACCCGCUUCUCAGGGAGUGGUCGGCGGCCCAUGGAGCGCCCGCCCCUCACGGGGAAGCGGCGACAGGGAGGCUCCGCCGCUGGAGCCCGCCCGCCUCUCACGGGGGGCCGCCGGCCCCCGGCCCGCCCGCCCCUCAGAGGGGUUGCGGCCAGCCGGGCCCGCCGAGGCGCGAGGAAGCGGCCGCCCCCCGUGAGAGCGGCGGCCCCGCCGCGCGCCCCGGAGUUCUUUUGUGCAGUGUUGGCUGUUCAAAUCCAUCAAAUCCAUUUGUAUCACAGGGAAUCAUCAAUGCAAGAAAACAAGAUGGAAAAUUGUGCACAGAGCUCCUGCUGUUAGAGUCAGCCAGGAGUAACAGUCAUCAAGGUCACGACUCCACAAGACCCUGCGAGGCAAUCCAUCUUUGCAUGCCAUAGGCAUACUCAUGAGCAGGAAGCAGAUCAAAGGCUUUUUGAAAGAAGGGGAAUAUUUCCUGAAUGGUUCAAGUGCAUAGCAACAUGAUGUAAUUCAUAACAUAAAUGCAAUUUCUGAAUGUUCCUCUUAUCCUGGAGCUUGGCAGGAACUGUAUUUCACUGGCAAUUGAUUUAAGCGAAGAAGAAUAUAAUAGAGGAAGAAGCAGAAGAUGAAAUUUGGUUUGGGAGAGUACCAAGGAAGGAGGAAAAGAAGCUACAACUAACAUCUCCUAAACAGGUCACAUGAAACUGGAGACGCCCUUCACUGAAAUGCAACCAGGAGACUCCAGCUGCAGGGCCAAGGCACUGCCUGCUGCACAAGUUUACCUGAAAAUAAAUAAGAUAGUGUAAGACCUGCAGAUUGUUAAAUGAAGUUAAUAACAAGUUCAAAAGAAGGGGAGGCACUUCUUCCAUGUAACACACAGCUAAGGUCUGAUGGUACAAUAGUUUUGAUGCAGUCUGGGCAAUGUGUUAACUGCGGGGCUGCUGAACCUAACUGUCAGACUUCCCUCAGGAACCUCUUUGGAAGGGAGGGCUUUCUCCAAGGACUUAACUCCUUCCCUGCAAGAUGAUGGAUGAGACUUUACAACCACCUGUCUUUGAUGCCAGAAAAUACGCUAUGCCCAUUCACCUGGAGAAGAGGAGAUUCAGGAGAGAUUUCAUAAUUGCAUAUAAUGGGAUGAUGGGCAGCGAUAAAGAGGACGCUGCUCACAGCAGCAGUCAGGGGAUUCAGUCUCCAGAGGCCCCUUUCCACCUCAGCUGAUCGGUCAUUCUGCAUCCCUGUCACAGGGCAGGUAGAUACACACUGCAGUGUGACUGUGAGUGAACCUCUGAACUGUUCUCUUCUGUAUAUCUCAGCCUCUUUCUUCAUGUGGGUAUACGUGCGAAGAAACCUUAAGUCCCAAGGACUAAAAUUGUGAUGGUGGAUGAGUGGUCAGCCUGAAGCAGAAGCAUUUGACUUCCUAUGGGGAACUCCGUACAACGUGGGAGAAGUAGGAAGAAAUGGCUCCUUUGUAAGUCAUUUUGGCAUGCAACGACCAUUUAAAAAGGCUUCAUGUCAUUUACAGCAAUCUUAAUUCUUCCUUGAAGUCACACUUUUUAAUUUCACAUCUCCCCACUACCUUUUUAUUUUUGCUUAUAGUCAGUUUGGCCUGAUUCAGGGAUACAAGUGACAGUGCAUCACCUCCUGCUGCACAAACAUGUAUUACUACAUUUAAUUCUCUCCUUUAGCACAAAGGAAUUAUUACUACAUUUGAUUUUAAUCAGCUUCUGGGAAUAUACUCAGCCAUUCCCCUGUGCAAGUUGUGCUUUGUACGAGAAUUCUGUUUUAAACAUCUCACAUGAGAUGGAUCAAGGACUAGCAGUGAGUAUUUCUGACCACUCGUCAUCACAGUUAACAUCCUUUGGGCUUUUUCUGCUAUACCAAGGAAGAAAAUCCUUCCUGGGGUGGUAAAGCCUGAAAGAGAAUCAAAUGAUUAGGUGGCCAAGCAAUACCACAACCUCCCAUGAAUAGGCUCAUGAUUUGCAGGCAGUUAAACUCCUGCCAGAAUAGGGCAGGGGGAGGAUCUACUAGAAAUCCUUUUGAAAGAUCCUUAAAGCUGUCGAUUUUGGCAGAUGCAAUGCCCUAUUUCUACAGCCUCACAAUCAACUCUGAAAAAAAAACAACCCUUCCUUUUCUGUGCCCCAGGCCUGUGUGGACUGCUCCCCCAUUAAGGCUUAUCUACCUUUCACAUAAUGAAGCCUGCAGCUUAAUCAAGUGAGGCAGCAACAGGCCUGGAUUUCCAAGACUGAGCUUCUGUCUCCUUGCACUUGCACAGCUGCAGUUUCUACAAGUUUGUUCCACCCAGUCCCCAGUUCACCACAGCCAAAAAAAAAGAAGGGGGGGGGGGACCCUUCAAGCAUGCAGAAGCUCUGUACCUUUGUGAUUCUCGUGACAUUGAAGCAAGCACUUCAGCCACUCACCAUUUGCUGCUACAAUAUGGAGAAAGACUAUCCUAAUUUUACCAUAGUGCCUUGAACAAGGUACAUAACAAGUCAUUAGCUGAAGCAGGAAUUCAACCCAAAGAUCCAAAGCUAUCUUUUACCCAUUCAGCACUGAUAUCCUAUCCGCCUCAGUUGAAGAAACGAUGCAAUAGCUGAAUUACUGAGGGUCAUAGCUCCAGGGUACGUUCCUGACCAAAACAUAAUUACCUGGCAACUUCAUCCUGGCAGCUGCAAAAUCAACCACGGAAAAGAAAGGUAAAUGAAGAUAUUAAUGGUGCUACAGCGAUCACCCUCUCCAUAGUGACGCAAGGCAGGAGCCACCUGACUGCUUAAUGUUGACAAUAUAGGUCUGUGAGAGAAAGAGCCAAGCCUGCAAGCAAUGACUUUUAGCUCGUGCUCAGCAGAAGCUGAUCUUGUUAUCCUCAAAGCAUGGAAAACUGCUAAUGCCUGCUUUGGGAAUACAAAUUCUCCCCCCCACUUCCUAGGAGAAUGGCUGUUUCCUAAACAAACCUUUCUCUCCCUCCCCAAACACAGGGCACAUUAAACCUUCCUUUCUGUAAAUGAGUGCUGUUUAAACGGUCUAUUUAACUAAUGUAAUACCUAGGAGCUGUGAGAGUUCAGCACCUACUGUGUGCACAUGCCACCUAUGUGCUUGGGGACCAGAGGGAGUGAAAAACAACCCUCCCACCCCCUCAAAGCCAUAUACCAAACAGCUUGGACUUGAUAACUGCUUGAUGCUUUAUCCUAAAGGCAAACUAGCUCUUCUCUCCCCUCCUCCACCUUCACAGGCAGAAGAUCUGCUCUACAGCCACCUUUGAAUAUAGCACCAAAUGCCUUACAGAGCUUAAAGUGUUAAGUAAAAUAAGUUACAACAGCAUGAGAGCAAUACCAAACAACGUAGUGCUUUGAAGUACUCUUUAACAAAAAGAAC